AGGGAGCGUAGGCGGCUGAUUAAGUCAGCGGUGAAAGGUAGCAGCUUAACUGUUUUACAUGCCGUUGAUACUGGUUAGCUUGAGUUGACAGAAGGCAGAUAGAAUUCCUGGUGUAGCGGUGAAAUGCUUAGAUACCAGGAGGAAUACCGAUUGCGAAGGCAGUCUGCUGCAGUCACACUGACGCUGAGGCUCGAAGGUGCGGGGAUCAAACAGGAUUAGAUACCCGUAGU
rnacentral:rRNA from 1 species